rnacentral:lncRNA from 1 species
AUCGGGAUUAUGUGGUAAGGUGGAAUUUUGAGGGAUGAAUAAUUUUAUGUAUCAGUCUGUAGUGCUGCGUGACUCAUUGUUACAUUGUUUAGGAUCUUGUUUUUCCCUUGUCGUUCUAGGAUUUGCAAUUAUCUUGAUUUUCCAAUUCUUGCCUUUUGUUUGGAGGGAGUUAUGGAUCUGUUUGUGAAUGUCGCUAUGCAUACUUGAGCUGGAAUUGGAUCGGGUCUAUAUCGAAUUUGGUUUGAUCAUUGAGCUGUGAAUUUGAUUUGAGUAACAGCUACUGCAGGCAUUAUACUACUCCUUAACUGUAAGAAGUCAUUUCAAUCAAGGUUGAGCAGUUCAGCAGCAUCUGUAUCAGUGUAUGUAGGAUCAAUUCUUCUGCUUUUAGGUUAUGUAUGACUUUAGUGAAGGGUCUCGAGUUUGAAAUCUGCAUGUUUGCUUAUUGACAUCUGGAUUAGGAGAACAUAUCCUGAUUAGGGAAUUUUAGAUUGUUUGCUUCAAUAACAGCUAAUGCAGGCAUUAUACUCUGAACUGUUUUCGUCACUGCAAAGCUCUUCUUAAGUUAGGGUGAUAAUCCGAGACUACGAUGAAUGAGAUUAACUGAUUAUCUUCUAUCUGCAUCCCUGCUAACAUUGUUUUGAUUUGUUUGAGGCUUUGAUCUGUGAAACCUUAGUGCAUUUAGCUUUGGCCGCUUGAUGCUACAACUUAGGAUAAUGAUAGUUUGCAUCUUUGUUCCUACUAAGUGGAAGGUUAGAUAUUCUGGUCAGCUUUUUGUCGUAUCUGUACAGGUGAUAAUCAGGUAUAGUCGAGUAUAUAAGUUGAAGCGUCAGCUGAGCUUAAUCUGCUGUUAGAGCUACGAUUGUGCGGUUGCUGCUGGGUUAUCAUCAGUCUUUCUGCUGUCUUGUACCUUACUGAACUUGCAGGAGAUGGCUCAUUCGCGAUAUUUAAUCUUUUCGUGCAUAGUUUUUGUGCAGUGACACCUUUAUGAUUCUUAGGGUCCUAAUAUAGCAUGCUUGUGAAAUGCAAAGACUCAUCUUAAGUGUUGCAAAUCAAAUGAAUAUAUUCUGUGCAAACGAUGUUUAAUCACCUUUCCGAAAGCAAAGCAUCAAUUCCCAACACGAGACGCAUGCGAGAAAGGUGUUAUCUAAGAUACGACUUGUUUGUCACACUUAACGACAUAGAUGCCAUGGUUCUAGCUGUGUGGUUGCCAAGUUAUAAUAGGAUGAGAGUUUGUUCAAUCAUGAUUGCCGAUUCAACAUGUUAAGAUAUAUACAAUCAUGUCGCAUCAAUUGCUCCACAGACUUGUAUAUUGUUUGCCACAUUUCACGGCAUACAGUCCCAUGGCGACAGAGUCUGUGGGUAUGCCGCACUUCAUGGCAUGGGUGUCGUGGCUCCAUAGACUCCUGGGUUUACGGCACUUCACUGUAUAGAUGUCAUGGCUUGACAAACUCGAUCGAAUGACUAGGCUCGAAUCCAC